GGUACAUGGCUCACACAGUUGCAAAAACAAACUGUUUAUUUUUUUAUCUUUUCGCAGGCACACACUGACCCACCAAUGUGGUACACGGCUCUACAAAACCUUGCUAUCAGGUUAUGCACAAGAACUCCGUGCGAACCCCAAAAGACAUUUCUUGGCUUCUGCGGUAUUGGAUACACGUGUAGGCGAUGGAAGCACGAUUACCAAUGCCUGUCCAUAUUUGACUUGGACUAAAUAUAAUGAACAAGAAAAAGACUUGGUGUUUGAUGCCACCGCGGAUUCACACUGAACAUGGCUAAAUUUACAAUAAAUGAUGUGCCCUUACUGCA